UUACGGUCACAUCAUGUUGAAUGUCCGGUUCCCGUACCAUCACCGAGGUUAAGCAACGUCGAGCCUGGUCAGUACCUAGAUGGGUGACCGCUUGUAUAAUACUAGGUGCUGUAAG